rnacentral:tRNA from 1 species
GCGACGGUGGUAUAUUGGUUAGCAUAGCUGCCUUCCAAGCAGUUGACCCGGGUUCGAUUCCCGCCCUUCGCA